rnacentral:rRNA from 1 species
GAUGAACGCUGGCGGCGUGCCUAAUACAUGCAAGUCGAGCGAACGGACGAGAAUCUCGCUUCUCUUAUGUUAGCGGCGGGCGGGUGAUUAACACGUGUAUAACCUACCUUUAAGACUGGUAUAACUUCGGGAACCCGGAUCUAAUACCGGAUAAUAUUUUGAACCGCAUGGUUCAAAAGUGAAAGACGGUCUUGCUGUCACUUAUAGAUGUAUCCGCGCUGCAUUAGCUAGUUGGUAAGGUAACGGCUUACCAAGGCAACAAUGCCUAGCCGACCGAAGAGGGUGAUCGGCCACACUGGAAGUGAGACACGGUCCAGACUCCUACGGGAGGCAGCAGUCGGGAAUAUUAGGCAAUGGGCGAAAGCAUGACGGAGCGAUGCCGCGUGUGUGAUGAAGGUCUUCGGAUCGUAAAGCCCUGUUACUAGGGAAGAACAGAUGUGUAAGUAAAUGUGCACAUCUUGACGGUACCUAAACAGAAAGCAACGGCUAACUACGUG